rnacentral:rRNA from 1 species
AAUCAACGCUGGCGGCGUGCCUCAGACAUGCAAGUCGAACGAUUAAAGCUCUCUUCGGAGAGUGUAUAGAGUGGCGCACGGGUGAGUAACACGUAAGUAAUCUACCCUCGAGUGGGAAGUAACGUCCGGAACGGACGCUAAUACCGCAUAAUGCAGCGGCACCGCAAGGUGACAGUUGUUAAAGAUUUAUCGCUUGAGGAGGAGCUUGCGGCAGAUUAGCUAGUUGGUAAGGUAAUGGCUUACCAAGGCUACGAUCUGUAACCGGUCUAAGAGGACGGUCGGUCACACUGACACUGAAUAACGGGUCAGACUCCUACGGGAGGCAGCAGUCGGGAA